GAUGAAGAACGUAGCAAAAUGCGAUAAGUAAUGUGAAUUGCAGAAUUCAGUGAAUCAUCGAAUCUUUGAACGCACAUUGCGCCCGCCAGUAUUCUGGCGGGCAUGCCUGUUCGAGCGUCAUUUCAACCCUCAAGCACAGCUUGGUGUUGGGACUCGCGUUAAUUCGCGUUCCCCAAAUUGAUUGGCGGUCACGUCGAGCUUCCAUAGCGUAGUAGUAAAACCCUCGUUACUGGUAAUCGUCGCAGCCACGCCGUUAAACCCCAACUUCUGAAUGUUGACCUCGGAUCAGGUAGGAAUACCCGCUGAACUUAAGCAUAUCAAUAAGCGGAGGA
rnacentral:misc_RNA from 1 species